rnacentral:rRNA from 1 species
GACGAACGCUGGCGGCGUGCCUAACACAUGCAAGUCGAGCGGAGUCGAUCGACGGAAGCCUUCGGGCGGAAGAUGGUUGACUUAGCGGCGGAUGGGUGAGUAACGCGUGGGCAACCUGCCUCGAAGACCGGGAUAACAGCCCGAAAGGGCUGCUAAUACCGGAUGUGGUCAAGGAUCCGCAUGGAUUUUUGAUUAAAGGGGAAACCCGUUUCGAGAUGGGCCCGCGUCCUAUCAGGCUAGUUGGUGAGGUAAAAGCUCACCAAGGCGACGACGGGUAGCCGGCCUGAGAGGGUGACCGGCCACACUGGGAACUGAGACACGGUCCAGACUCCUACGGGGGGCAGCAGUGGGGAAUCUUCCACAAUGGGCGAAAGCCUGAUGGAGCGACGCCGCGUGAGCGAAGAAGGCCUUCGGGUUGUAAAGCUCUGUCUGGAGGGACGAAGGAAGUGACGGUACCUCCGGAGGAGCCACGGCUAACUAACGUGCCAAGCAGCCGCGGUAAGAUCAACGUGUA